rnacentral:rRNA from 1 species
GCGAGGAGGGAGAAGUCGUAACAAGGUAGCCGUAGGGGAACCUGCGGCUGGAUCACCUCCUACAACAC